rnacentral:rRNA from 1 species
UACAGAGGGGGCAAGCGUUGUUCGGAAUUACUGGGCGUAAAGGGCGCGUAGGCGGCCUUCUAAGUCGAACGUGAAAUCCCCGGGCUCAACCCGGGAACUGCGUCCGAUACUGGAAGGCUUGAAUCCGGGAGAGGGAUGUGGAAUUCCAGGUGUAGCGGUGAAAUGCGUAGAUAUCUGGAGGAACACCGGUGGCGAAGGCGGCGACCUGGGCCUGAACUGACGCUGAGGAGCGAAAGCUAGGGGAGCAAACGGG